AGUGGAAAUAUUAUACAGGGAGCAGCUAGCUUUUCUUGGCUUUCUUGUUUGUUCCUGAGCUGACAAUAGAAAUCUUUGAGAAUUGGAACUAGUGCGCUUUGAAAACAAAACUCUCUUCACUUACAGGGCAUGGAUUUUUCUGCUAAUUUGGAUUCUUUUGAGGACAAAUUUGCAUACCAUUAUCAUUAUCAUUGUUUCAUCGAAAAAAAAAUAAAAGAAGCACCUGUGGGAUAGAGAAUGAGAGAGGAACACAGAAUGGCGAGAAUUCAGAGACCUGGAGGGAGAAGACACAUGGACUGUCAGAUCUAGAGACCUGCUUCCUUCAAUAGCUGAUUUUCUUUCAUUUGUGUCAGAAACAGGCAGCAUGGCACAGAGCCAUGCACCUAAAACUUUAUUGUGCAUAUUUAUUCCUAGAGAUCUUGUUAAAAUGCAGAUUCAGAUUCAGCCAAUCUAGGGUCAGGGCUUUCUAUUGUAAUAAGUUCCAAGGUAAUGCCAAUGCUGCUGGUCCAUGGACUGCACACUUUGAUGAGAAG
rnacentral:lncRNA from 1 species